rnacentral:rRNA from 1 species
AUGCAGUCGGACGCACCUUCGGGUGAGUGGCGCACGGGUGAGGAACACGUAGCUGACCUGCCUUCGAGCGGGGGAUAACGCGGCGAAAGCUGUGCUAAGACCGCAUACGCUUCUGAGGACUAGUAGCUCAGGAGGAAAACCGCAAGGUACUCGAAGAGGGGGCUGCGACCCAUCAGGUGGUUGGUGAGGUAACGGCUCACCAAGCCGAAGACGGGUAGCGGGUCUGAGAGGAUGACCCGCCACACUGGGACUGAGACACGGCCCAGACUCCUACGGGAGGCAGCAGUGAGGAAUAUUGGUCAAUGGGGGCAACCCUGAACCAGCGACGCCGCGUGAGGGACGAAGGCCUUCGGGUCGUAAACCUCUUUUUCAGGUGACGAGCAAGGACGGUAGCCUGAGAAGAAGCCUCGGCUAACUACGUGCCAGCAGCCGCGGUAAAACGUAGGAGGCGAGCGUUAUCCGGAGUUACUGGGCGUAAAGCGGAUGUAGGCGGUGGCUCGCGUCGGAUGUGAAAGCUCCUGGCUCAACCGGGAGAGGGCGUCGGAUACGGGGUCACUAGAGGGCAGCAGAGGAGCGUGGAAUUCCGGGUGUAGUGGUGAAAUGCGUAGAGAUCCGGAGGAACACCAGAGGCGCAGGCGACGCUCUGGGCUGCCACUGACGCUGAGAACCGAAGGCAUGGGGAGCGAACGGGAUUAGAAACCCCGGUAGUCCAUGCAGUAAACGAUGCACACUGGAUGUCUGGUGCUCGCAAGAGGACUGGGUGUCGCAGCUAACGCGUUAAGUGUGCC